rnacentral:tRNA from 1 species
GGAGGCGUGUCCGGUCUGGUGACCGGCGCGGUCUUCAAAACCGUCGAACGGCAGUCGCUGCCGCUGGCGGGUUCAAUUCCCGUCCGCCUCCGCCA